UGCCCGCUUCCUCUCUCUUCCCUCCACCUCCAGACUUUUCUUGGUUUUGGUCGUAUAUUUAGUCCUUCUGGUGGUUCCCUUCACAGCUCCAAGUAAACCCAGCAGCUCCUUUUCUGGGCUCACCCACUCGGGGCUGUGACAGAUGAGGAAAUGACAGCCUCACAUUGUCAUCUUCCUGUCCUGAUUCUCGUUAGUUUUAGAGUGAGUUUUACCUUCUUGAGGUUCACAGAAUGUGCCUUCUGGACGCACAUUACCCUCAGAAGUUUUGUCUUCAUUUUCCUCUUUGCUCCACCCCUCCUACUGGCUCUUCUUUCAUCACUUGAAUGUCCAGAUUGGAGCUGUUUUGCAAAGAGCAGGCACUGAUAAUCCAGCACUGGAUCACUUCCUGUGUGAGCUGUUCCACCUCGUGACCUGUGCUGCAGUCACAGCUGCCUGCACGCGGUGCCCUGUGCCAGCAGUGCCCACAGCCCAUGGGUCUGUAGUGUUCCGGGGAGCCCCGGGCCAGGCUGUUGUCUUGUCCCUGCACUUGCCAGUCAUUUGUUUUGUUCUACCCGGAUGUCUGAGGAAAUUUUUCACAUAUAUAAUUUAAAAGCCUGACUAGCCUUCAUGUCUCGUAGAUAAUUUUGUGCGCAUUGUUGGUGGGGACUCAUGGUUUGCCCUUUAGGUUUGCAGACUUUUCUUCCUCAGGUUCAGGAAAACCCUUUUCUAUCACAGCUCUGAAGGCACCUCUCCUACCCUUGAAGGGGUCCCUGUGCAUCGACACCGUGACCUGUGUAUCGGAGGCACCCGCUCUCCGUUGGUGUCAGCUCCUCUUCGACUGUGGUGACGGCCGCCUUUUCACUUCGGGCUUGUGGAGAACGUCUGGAACCUUCCCUGCUCAGGGUUUCCUGGGAUGCAAGUUUUCAUUCUGUCACCUUAAACUAGACGUCUCCAAAUCUGGCUUUCAGAGUGUCGCAGGAGGGCAGCCUGUCAGCAGGAGACGCGAUGGUCGAUCACCACCCGUCACACACCUGUCAACAGCACAUGUGAUUUUGGAGAGACCGCCAAAUAGAUUUCUUACUUACACAUAUAAUUCUUUUAUUUAAACCUGUGCUGUUGUUAGAUUGUCAAAAAAAGAAUCAAAAUGCUUACAUGGCAUAUUUUAAGAGGGAAUUAAAAAAACUGGGGGACUCUUUAGGAGGGCGAACGAGAUGGCGCGGGUUCUGGAAACCGUGCUGUGCAGAUAAAGAAGUCACCAGCCCGAAGGUCAGGGAAGGUCAGUAGGUGAAUGGACAUUUGUAAAGCGGCCAAGUGUAAGGCCAAGGGGGUGGGGGCUGUGACGAGCUGUUGUGCACGUGGUGCGCCUGUGAGCAUUCAGAGUAAGAUUGUCUAGAAUCACCCGCCCGGGUCAAAGUUGGAAGGAGCAGUCUUCAUGCCCUGGGUAAGAGAGGGUGCUCUGGCCUCCACAGUCCUUGGGUUGGCCGUCUCGACAAUGCAUCUAACAACAUCUCAUAGGAACAGAUAGAUUAUGCUAUCGUACGUAAUGCACACACAUUUAAUAUAAUCCAUGGGGUGAAGCAUAUCAUGUCAUGCAUACACACACAAACGCAAAUUUACCUCUUCUUCCCCAUAAG
rnacentral:lncRNA from 1 species